AUUUUCUAAUGUUAUUUUGAAAGCUUGGAAAAUUUGGUAAUUUUGAGUGCUAAAAUAUUUAGUUCAAAUGAAAAAUAUUUGAUUUGAUAGUUUUUUUCUCAGUGUUGAAUUGUUACAUUUACAGUGAAAGCACUCAAAACAAAAUUUAUAAAACAUUCAAAUCAACUUUCAUAUUUCGCAUUUCUGGCAACACAGACGAUAAAAAAAUAAUGAAACUGGCAGCGCGCGGGGAUCUGUCAUUAUUGUAAAUCGAAAAAAGUUUCAUGUUUACCAAAUCUUUUUUUAUCGGUUAUUCUUGAGUACAAGUUGUAGCAGCAAGAAAUCCAAUCAUCCGUGCAAAAGUUCUCUGAAAAAUCAAGAAAUCCUGCUGAAGAAACCUUACAUUACUGAUGGUGCAGGAAGGAAGCUCAUCGACGACUAAAUUAUUAAGAUUGAUUUCAAGUGCCGUAAUAUGUUCGCGCUGCUGAAAUACCUAUGUGAUUCCUAUCAUCAGGAAAAAAGAGCCGAGAGAACUAAACCCUCAACUGUUGCGUUUGAUUAUCAUCGAUGAAAUUUGUCCGUGCCGCAUCCAGAGUUUUAUGUCGCCCGCACAUUGAAACUACAACAGAAUGUAACGACGUUCUGUCACUGCCAACUUAUCACGACAUCGUCACUGCCCGUGCGUGCCCGGCGAUUGGUCUGUUUUAUGCCGACAUCAGCUUCCGUCAAAUCGCCCUCAAGCAGCAGUAUAUUAAAAUCGAGAUUAAAAUGACAUCGUUUGAAGGAAGGAUGCAGGUUCGUAUCCAGGAGGGAAUCAAGUAUUGGUGUUCGUCGUGUCCGGCCACUCACAAAAGGAAACAUGUCGAACUGUCGUGCUAUUCGUGACAAAUGUUGUUUGAUCGUCAUAUUGCGUGCUUGUUGUAUAAUUGGCGCUUGAGUUUUGUACCGAAUCGUCGUGAUUUUAUUCCCGUUAUUGUUGAAAUUGCGUUCAGUGACGAUAAAGCCUGUAGCUGACUUCGAAAGAAAUUGAAUAUCAACGACUUGUAAUGCCUAAAAUUGUAUAAAUUGGAGAAAAAGAAUUCAGUUUGCAACAGUGAAACAAGCAUCCAUUGUUGUUAUUUUCGUCUCAUCUCAUCGAAACUUGCUAGCUGUAUCCCGCCUGAGUUACCAUCUACUUCAAAACAACGCGUUUAUUCAGUAUGGGUUUUGGUUGUACGAACUGCUCGCUGUCUAUCAAUGCUUUGCAAGAGCGUGUCGAUUGCCACGGGUGCAGUAAAGCAUACCACCUAAGCUGCACGAAUAUGAAUCCCUAUCAGUGGCGAGUGUGUGUUGAAUUUGAUAAUGUGCUCUGGUUGUGCGAUGCAUGUCUUUCUUGCUUCCGCAAGCAGCGAUCGAUAUCGAUAACGGACAAAACGGUCUUGAUGGAGAGAAAGGGCGAUAAACAGGAGUAUGAGUGCCAGAUCGCGCUUACCGUAGAUCGACUCCAAUCAGAGAUAUCUGUAAUUAAACAGCGUUUCUCUGAUUUACAACAAUCGUUGAACAGUAACCGCCAAUGGAACGAAAGUCUUGCAACGAUGCCUUCUACUUCGACUCCUGCCAAAAUCUACGAAAAACCCAAGCCUACUCUAAACUACGACGAUUCUUCUCGAUUGUUAAGGGGUACUAGAUCUGAUACCAACAAAGCUGGUUCCCGUAGGUUCUGGAUAUUUUUUACAAAGGUGGCCAAACAUGUCUCAACUGAUGCCAUGCGAAAAAUGGUUUGUGAUUCUCUGCGACUGAACCAUGAACCCGAUGUUAUUAAGCUAGUGCCACGCUGGAGCAACGUAGAAAAUCUGCGUUACAUAUCCUUCAAAGUUGGUGUUGACUGGACGUAUAAGGAAAUGGCUACAAUGGACUCAACAUGGCCAACGGGGCUGCUUUUCAGAGAGUUUGUGAAUAAUGAAAACUGUUACUGGGAGCCGUGAUACAAAUUUACAGUUAUGUUUUAUGUGUAGUAAUGCUUUGUUCAAUUUGAAUAUCACUAUCUGGUUGUCCUCAUUGUUGUUGAAGUAUGUCAUAUAAUAAUUGAAGUAUUUUGUAUAUAUGUAAUAGUAUAAGUUACGAUCAUUAGGGCUAAAUUGAGCCUGUUGGUCAUGAACAAAUAAAUGAACAAACUAAAAAUGUGUGGACCAAACAAUGUUUGUGAAGUUUCAAUCAAUCAACUCUACACGGGAGAAGAGCAUCCCCUACUGGGGUACUUCCGUGCUGAUUUAGCCCGCUUGAAAAAUACUGCUUUGAUCAAGUACGACGGCAAAGGUGCUAACCGAAAAAAUAUACCGAUACUUUCACUUGAUUAACGAUCACGCAACGUUGCCGCUGAAAUCGAGGCUGAAAUAAACCGUUACAAGGAGGAAACAGGCCAGAAAUCACCACCGGUAUGCCACCGACUAAACGGGGGAUUGCGUGCGAUUAACCGAUGGAGAAAAUAAGGAGUAUGAUGGCGCUGCUUAGUGCAGGUUACGUACGUCGUCAGUUUUGGCGAACCGUUCGAUUUCAGCAACCACCUGAGAUUUUCGGAGGUGGCAGCCUAAUUCCAACCACGAUUCCAGCUAUCAGAUGCUUGAUUCAGCAGAUUCUAAACAAGACAGCAAAUACUCCCUGCGUGCGGAUCGCUUGCGCAAUUUAGUGCCAUUUUCUGGUCUUCGAGCCGUUAUGUACAUAAAUG